rnacentral:rRNA from 1 species
UGGGGAAUAUUGCACAAUGGGCGCAAGCCUGAUGCAGCCAUGCCGCGUGUAUGAAGAAGGCCUUCGGGUUGUAAAGUACUUUCAGCGGGGAGGAAGGGAGUAAAGUUAAUACCUUUGCUCAUUGACGUUACCCGCAGAAGAAGCACCGGCUAACUCCGUGCCAGCAGCCGCGGUAAUACGGAGGGUGCAAGCGUUAAUCGGAAUUACUGGGCGUAAAGCGCACACAGGCGGUUUGUUAAGUCAGAUGUGAAAUCCCCGGGCUCAACCUGGGAACUGCAUCUGAUACUGGCAAGCUUGAGUAUCGUAGAGGGGGGUAGAAUUCCAGGUGUAGCGGUGAAAUGCGUAGAGAUCUGGAGGAAAACCGGUGGCGAAGGCGGCCCCCUGGACGAAGACUGACGCUCAGGUGCGAAAGCGUGGGGAGCAAACAGG